rnacentral:lncRNA from 1 species
CACUGCCUCAGAUGACCUCUCCUCCUAGGUCGGAACUAUGACACUACUUAGAUUCAGCUUCGGGUAGAGUUCUCUGACUGCGUCUCAUCCGUCCGCAUACGUGAUCUAAUAAGCCUCGUGGCUACCCUAGAGGAUUUCGUUCUUGAAGACUUCUGACCUCUUAUAAUCUUUGAUGGCCCAACUAAGAGCCUCUUGGGUAG